AACCUUUGCUGUCUUGGGACGGAUCACCACUGCAAGAGGGGAAGUUGCUACUGUGAUGAAUUCUGCCAUGUGGCACCAGACUGCCACCCAGACCACAGUGUCCUCUGCAACCCUGGUCAAAGGUGCCUACAUGCUCCUUCUAGCUUUGUUUCCCUGAUGUUCCUUGCCACCUGCUACUCCUCUCUGAGCUACUUUUCCAGCUUCUCAGAUGACCAAGAUGGUGCUGCAGAUGGUGCUGAGGAUGGAGAACCCACCAAGCCCCGCUAGGAGCCACCUAGACUGGAUGCAGAGCAUGCUCCACCGGGAACUCCACGCCCACGCGCCUCACUUCCAGGUCUCCUUACUGCGUGUCAGGAGAGGCUAACGGACAUCAGCUGCAGCCAGGCAUGUCCCGUAUGCCAAAAGAGGGUGCUGCCCCUAGCCUGGGCCCCCACCGACAGACUGCAGCUGCGUUACUG
ensembl:lncRNA MUC20-OT1 MUC20 overlapping transcript